GUGGCUGAGUCCAGUUCUGGGAACAAUGGUUCAAGAAAGACACAGACUUGGUGGGCCAGCUCCCGAGGAGGGCCAUGAAAAUCAUCAAAGCUGAGGCCUCACAUGCACUGCAUUAAGCUCCUUUUUAAAAUUAAUGAAGACUAAUUAAGGAAAACAAGCCUCCACAAGAAAAAAAAAAAAGAAAGAAGUUGCUUUUGUAAAGACAGCUCUAGCAACUACCACAAAAUGCCACUCUGCUCUAGAAAGCCAAUAACUCACUGUAAUAUGAACUGAUAAAUGUUGUCUGUUUCCAACCAGCUCAGGGUGAGAUGAACCCAAUGCCUCAUUGCUGGUGUGGGCCUUUCAUUAUCUCCAACUGAUGAAUUCUCAUGAUCAAGAUUUUGGGUGCCUGUACAACAAUUCAUCUUCUCUUUAAAAUUUUGUAAAUUAUAUUGUUCAAAUUAAAACAUCCAACAAUUAGAAUUCCAUUGUUCACUUAAAUUCAGAAGGCUGAAGACUGCAAAUUUGUACCCAUUCCCAUCCAAUCUGUGCAUGAACAUUUGAUUUUUAAAAUAUUCUGUUUUUCUAAAGCAAAGAAAACAGAAUAAUUCCUCCUUAUUUACUGCAAACUCUGAUAUCUCAUUAGGAUCCCUGCUCAGUAUCUCUCCAGAUACCACUGUGACCUUAUUGUAGUAUGAGUAUCAUUGAUCAAUAGACAGAAAACUGUCAAAUCUCUCUUAAUGUGGGAAAACAGCUGCAGAACACAUUUGUACAGAAGACAGACCUUACAGGCAAUCUUUUUUUGCAUAAAAAUAAUAAUACUUCUGGAAGAAAAAUAAAUUUCUUGUUCUGUACAAUUAAACUGCAGGGAGAAAUCCUAGAAUUAAAAAAAAAAACAGUUUUUAAGUAAAAACUCACCAUCUGUCAUCUAAUAGCUCUUUUCUGCUACAGUAUGUACAAGAUGAAGGACUUUAAGAUCCUUUGGAUCAGCACAUGACUUGCUCUAGACAGUGGAAUGGUGCAGGACACCCUGCAAUCUUUGGAUCAUAUCACAGAUGGAAGAGAUGAAUACAGGCAAUAAGCCAACCUAAAAUGAAAAUAAAUGUCAAUGUGCCAUCUUUAAGGGAAAGCAAGUGUACAUGUAUAUGCAUAAGCAUAGAUAUAACAUUUUUCUCUUGCAUAUGUGUUAGUGACUCAGUCACUUCCAGUGUACAACCCCUCACAAAACCCCCCAAAAUCAAUCAAACCACCAAAAGCAAAGCAACUUGAAAAAGUAAUUCCAGUGGGGCUUUUCUUUGAAAAGAAACGUGGUGAAGUCAGUUUCUGCUUUUAAGCUAUGAGGGCUACAAAGACCAUGACCUCUUUCUGUGAGGAAAUUAGAUUUCAUUUGAAGAAUUUGCCAGCUGUACCAUUUUGAAUUCCUUUCUAUGGAUUAUCCUUGUGAAAUAAAGUCAU